UAAAGUUUAAUUGAAGAGACGCAAGUGUGGGUUUGCCGGCCGAUGGACUGGAAUAACUAACAUGGCUCGAGUGUACUGCUGCCGGCUUUGGGCUUGAAAGUCGCGUAUAAAUUCACUUCUUGCGACCUGCGCGCAUUCACUGACUGCCCCGAGCUCUGACCGCAGGUAUCACUUCAGCAUCUUCUUGUCCUAGACUAUCCGACCAUGAUGCAACGGGUGCGAGAGUUGUGCGUGCUGGCGCUGUUCCUGCUGUCAGUAGCGGCCCCUGUCUUCACACAGAUCCACUUCUCGCCCACUUGGGGAACCGGCAAGCGCUCGGACCCCGCCCUGUCCGACACGGCCAGCGACACCUGCUGGACGCUAUCCGACCUCCGCGCCUUGCUGCAGAUGGUCCGGAUGGUUGAGCGAGAAGUAGAACGCUACACCAUGUGUGCACAAGGUUUGGGCGGCAUUGCAGCUUACAAAGAGCAGUGAUACCCUAAAGGUGCCGAACAAACGGAUGAAACAUGGGCUUGAAGUGUGAGACUGAAAAAAAUCCACCAGUCUUACCAUGUUAAAAACGAAGCCCAUCAUAUUUACAAACAUUUUAACAGCAAAAAAAGAAUUUCAGCCAAAACGUGUGCAUGUUAUAGAUUUAUACGAUAUAAAUUUUAUAUCAUGAGAUUUCGUACAACUUCAAUCUGCAAAGCAGAAACUUGUAAAGUUGCCAGCUGCUGAUUUAUCACAGACCUCUAAUUUGAAAGGGUUGAUUCUGCUUGAAAAGUUUUCCAACCUGCAUUAAAGACUGCUGAAAAAAUG